rnacentral:rRNA from 1 species
GUCGAGAAUCUUUCACAAUGGGGGCAACCCUGAUGGAGCGACGCCGCGUGGAGGAUAAGGUCUUCGGAUUGUAAACUCCUGUCAUGCGUGAACAAGGUUGCUUGGUUAAUACCUGGGCAAAUUGAUGGUAACGCAAGAGGAAGAGACGGCUAACUCUGUGCCAGCAGCCGCGGUAAUACAGAGGUCUCAAGCGUUGUUCGGAAUCACUGGGCGUAAAGGGUGCGUAGGUGGCGUGGUAAGUCAGAUGUGAAAGCCCGGGGCUCAACCUCGGACCUGCGUGCGAUACUGCCAUGCUAGAGUACUUGAGAGGUGACUAGAAUUCUCGGUGUAGCAGUGAAAUGCGUAGAUAUCGAGAGGAAUACCAACGGCGUAGGCAGGUGACUGGACAGUUAAUGACACUGAGGCACGAAGGCCAGGGGAGCGAACGGGAUUAGAAACCCCAGUAGUCC